rnacentral:rRNA from 1 species
GACGAACGCUGGCGGCGUGCUUAACACAUGCAAGUCGAACGGAAAGGCGCUGCUGGUGUGUGGUGCUCGAGGGGCGAACGGGUGAGUAACACGUGAGUAACCUGCCGUUGGCGGUGGGAUAACUUCAGGUAACGCGAGCUAAUACUGGAUAGGUGCCCGUGCUGCUUUUUUUGGGUUGUACAGUUUCUGCAGUUGGGGAUGGACUCGCGGCGUAUCAGCUUGUUGGUGGGGUAGUCGCUGACCAAGGCCUUGACCGGUAGCUGGCUUGUGAGGGUGACCGGCCAGCUUGGGACUGAGAUACGGACCACACUCAUACGGGCGGCAGGAGUGGGGAAUAUUGCACACUGGGCGGAAGCCUGCUGCAGGAACGCAGGGUGCGGGAUGACGGCCGUCGGGUUGUAAGCCGCUUUCGCCUGUGACGAACGGUGCGUGACGGUAAUGGGUAAAGAAGCACCGGCUAACUACGUG